rnacentral:rRNA from 1 species
UACGGAGGAUCCGAGCGUUAUCCGGAUUUAUUGGGUUUAAAGGGUGCGCAGGCGGAUUUUUAAGUCAGCGGUCAAAUCGUGGGGCUCAACCCCAUCCAGCCGUUGAAACUGGCUUGCUAGAGUGGGCGAGAAGUAUGCGGAAUGCGUGGUGUAGCGGUGAAAUGCAUAGAUAUCACGCAGAACUCCGAUUGCGAAGGCAGCAUACCGGCGCCCAACUGACGCUCAGGCACGAAAGCGUGGGUAUCGAACAGG